CCUGGGGAGUACGUCCGCAAGGAUGAAACUCAAAGGAAUUGACGGGGGGCCCGCACAAGCGGUGGAUUAUGUGGUUUAAUUCGAUGAUACGCGAGGAACCUUACCAAGACUUAAAUGGGAAAUGACAGGCUUAGAAAUAGGCUUUUCUUCGGACAUUUUCCAAGGUGCUGCAUGGUUGUCGUCAGCUCGUGCCGUGAGGUGUUAGGUUAAGUCCUGCAACGAGCGCAACCCCUGUCACUAGUUGCUAACAUUUAGUUGAGGACUCUAGUGAGACUGCCUACGCAAGUAGAGAGGAAGGUGGGGAUGACGUCAAAUCAUCACGGCCCUUACGUCUUGGGCCACACACGUAAUACAAUGGCCGGUACAGAGGGCAGCUACCUAGCGAUAGGAUGCAAAUCUCGAAAGCCGGUCUCAGUUCGGAUUGGAGUCUGCAACUCGACUCUAUGAAGCUGGAAUCGCUAGUAAUCGCGCAUCAGCCAUGGCGCGGUGAAUACGUUCCCGGGCCUUGUACACACCGCCCGUCAAGCCAUGGAAGUUUGGGGUACCUGAAGUCGGUGACCGUAAAAGGAGCUGCCUAGGGUAAAACAAGUAACUAGGGCU
rnacentral:rRNA from 1 species